rnacentral:rRNA from 1 species
UACGUAGGGCGCAAGCGUUGUCCGGAAUUAUUGGGCGUAAAGAGCUCGUAGGCGGUUUGUUGCGUCUGCUGUGAAAACUGGAGGCUCAACCUCCAGCCUGCAGUGGGUACGGGCAAACUAGAGUGCGGUAGGGGAGAUUGGAAUUCCUGGUGUAGCGGUGGAAUGCGCAGAUAUCAGGAGGAACACCGAUGGCGAAGGCAGAUCUCUGGGCCGUAACUGACGCUGAGGAGCGAAAGCAUGGGGAGCGAACAGG